GACAGAGGCCUCAAGCGUUAGGCGGAAUCACUGGGCUUAAAGCGUGUGUAGGCGGAUCGUUAAGUGUCUUGUGAAAUCCCACGGCUCACCCGUCGAACUGCUGGGCAUACUGGCGAUCUUGGGCCAACUAGGGGCAACUGGAACAAGCGGUGGAGCGGUGAAAUGCGUAGAUAUCGCUUGGAACGCCGAAGGUGAAAACAGGUUGCUGGGGUUGUGCCGACGCUGAGACACGAAAGCCAGGGGAGCAAACGGG
rnacentral:rRNA from 1 species